CCGAGCCCUAAUCCGUUCCUCUCUUCUUCUCUCGCGCCCGACGCCGGCGGUUUCUUCUUCCCGAACGCCGGCAGCCGGUUCCUUGUCGGAGCCCUAGCACCGCCGCCCGACCGCCUGCCCUAGCCACCCAACGCCGCCGACGCCCUUCUCUCGAUUCCUCCUCUGGUCCGACGAGCCAUCGCCGGACACCCUCGCUCUCGGCCUCUUUUCUGCCCUAGCACAAUUCUUUCAACCGCCGGCAGCCUGAGUUCCUGCCGCCAGCCGCCGAACUCGCGUGCCCUAGAGGGUUGGGUUCACGACAACGCGCCGAUUCUUCUCUGUGUUCGGCCUCUCCACCGCCGCACACCGCUGAGAGCCGGCUCUCCUCCUUGUGUUCACGACCGCUCCACAUCUGCACCGUGCCGACGCCGACUUCUUCAUCUCUGCGCCACUGCCUCUGCGUGCCACUGCCUCCACACCUUCUUCUUCACUGUGGUCACACCUCUAGUGCCCUAGCAGUGAUCUGGGAGUGCUUGACCUUGCUUGGACCAGUAGGUGGAGAUUUCUUUUCCCUGUGUUGCUGCUGUGCCCUAGUGCACCAUUACCGGUGCCACUCUCUUCUUUACAGCAGAGUGGUGAUUUUAGAGUGAAGUGUCCGACUUGUAAAGUGUGCUUUAGUUUGUUCAAGACUUCCAGCAGCAACCCCAUCCAGUAGCCCUUGCUUCAGCAGCAACAGCAACGGUGGUUGAGGAUUUUGACACGAGACGAGUAUCUCGGAGUCGGAUUGGACUUUUCUUAUCGGAGGCGGG